rnacentral:lncRNA from 1 species
UUUGUUCGAAACAACUUCUCUUCUUUACCCUACUCUAUAUAUCAUAAACAAUAGGAGUAUCAUAAGUAACACAAUGACUUCAACAAAGACUAAAGCCAUUAUUUUCUUCAUUGUAUUGAUCUUGAGUCAUGAGAUUUUACAUGUUGAAGCAAGGCACCUAAAGUCUAAGCACAGCAAACACCAUUCAAACACUUUGAAAGUGAAAAACAGUGGAAAUUAUAAGCCAUCUUCUAAUUUUGGGUCAUCAACACGAGCAACUGAAGGUAGCAGCAAGGCUGAG